AGCUGGACGGGGUCGACGGCGCGGGUCACGACGAGGUAAUCGCGCAUCACGAUGCCGUGACGAUUCUC
rnacentral:sRNA from 1 species